CUACAAAUAAGUCAACAUGACCAAAACUGUCCGAAAACCCCUUAAGGAGUCAUUGUCCUUUAUAGUCAAUAAUGAACAACUUUCGUCAUUUUUGUAACUUGUACAAAAAUCUUCUUUUCUAAAAGUAUGGGCCAAAUUUAACCAAACUUGGCCACAAUCAUUACUAGGGUAUCUAUUUUAAAAAAAGUGUCUAAUGACCCCGCCUACCAAACAAGAUGGCCGACAUCAGUAAAUACAGUAACAGGUGAGCGACACAGGCUCUUGAGAGCCUCUAGUU
rnacentral:lncRNA from 1 species